CUGACCUGAAAGAGAGAAACAAGAGUCAAACAUCCAGCCUUUUCAUGAAUUUGCCAUUCAAAUUUUAUUUAUGUUGGUUCAUAGGCAUAUCGGCAUACAGAUUUGGUUUUGUGUGUUUCUUUUAUGGCUAUAUUAAUCAAAUUUAACUGUUUGGCACACACUUGUUUUAUAUCCUUUAUUUUCAUUGUAAACGUGAAUAUUUAUCUUCAUAUCGACAUAUUAUUCUUCCAACAAAUAACCUGCAAAACAUAACAUGCAAAAGAGCAAAAAAGAUGCAAAAUAGCAUUUUGUAUUGCAUGCACUGUAUCGUUACCAUAGAUUGUGUUUCUGUAUUGUAUGAACAUAAUGACAUUGAAGUUUGUUCUGAUAGUGAUCAGACUGGUUCUCAAAUACAUAGAUACGUGUCAUUUCGUUUGCGUGUCAGCUGAUGUUUGAUGUUUUACGUUCACUAAGGCGUAGAGUUACUGUGGUGACACUCGGCACCAGAAUGCUGCUUAUAUAAACACUGUUAAGCCAAAGUCAAAAGAUCCCACAGCCAUUUCUCUACCAAAUUCUGCUGCUGAUCGAAUGAUGCGUUAUUGGGAAUUAACGAAGAAUUAAUUAGAUUUGGUAAAAGAUGUACAGUUUUAAUUCCAACAAAAAUAAAAUAAUAUGUAAAUAAAACUAAAUACAUUUAAACACAACAGGCAACGUGCACCAGAGGACACGUAUUCUUGUAGGAGGCACGAGGAAGAAUUUUUCAUCCAAUACUUUUAUCAUUAGUUGAGGUUGUUUGAAGUAUGGGGAUCACAUGACUUGGUUCAUAUUUUCUGUGCUCGUUUUGUCGGUUUGGCGUUGGAUUUGUAGAAAUCACAUCAAAUACACAGUAAUCACAUAACAUAUAAGGGGGAGGCCCUUGAUAAAAAAAUCUCUCUGAGGGAUGGGGUGGGGGAUGGGGAUUAUAAAUCACAACAAGGAGAGCAGCUCCCCCUCAGUAGAAAUUGCAUUCCAGGGCCAGGGGCCCUUAGGGAAGAGCCUUAUAGGCCUUCCUGGCCUCUAGGUCCCCUGUACACAGUCCCCUUUCUAUUUAUUUUGAGUUUAGAAAUUGUGCAAAUGUUAAUAUUUGUAUGUAAAACUGAUAAUAUUACACUGUUGACUACAUCUUUGCAUUUUUAACUAGAUUUUUUCCCCUGCAGGGUUUCACAGCUCAUUUUAUGGUAGAAGAGGGGUGUCUAACCCUGCUCCUGGAUGGCUAGAAUUCUGCAAUUUUUAGCUCCAACCCUGAUCAAAAACAUUUGAAAAAUCUGACAAAAACCGCUUUAGUUCCAGAACUAAAUGUACAGUACUAAAGUACUGGGACGAUUUUGCCUGAGCUAUUUCCCAGUACCAUUUAAAGGGUUGUGUUCACACCGAGAGUUGGUAUUAGGAAGUGACGUAAGCUGGUCGACAGCGGCGUCAUGUGCACGGCGUUCAACAACGGAAACAGAGAAGAACAACAUUGACAACAGGAGGAUGGAGGACGCUGUGAUCAGAGCUGUGUUUGUGUUGGGUCUCGCGGGUUUCACAAUAAUGGACAUGGAAUGUCGACGUAUACGUCAAGCGAUUGAAAGAACGGAAAGGAGGACUAAGAAUCUCCAACGACUAGAUUCUAAUGUUCAAACUAAAUGUUCAAAAGUGCCUGCACUUCAGCGUCCGUCCAUCUAUCACUGUUCUCCAUACUUGCGAAAUAAGUUGACACAAUGUUUACGGUAUGUUUACACGGCGUUUUAAAUCAUGGCGGGUGAGGGCGUUUUUGUUAGCGUUUGGCCAAUCAACGUCUACUUACGUCAUGGGUAGUACCAGUUGUGCUGAUUAGACCCUGCUCUGGAGUAGGAGCUAAUUUGGUUCUCAAAAAGGCAGUCCGGUACUAAAAUCGCAUCCAGUUCCGGCGGUGCGAAAACGCCAAAAAGUGGGUAGUUCCACAAUUAGUUCUGGAACUAUGAAAAGGUUCCCACGGUGCGAAAGGCCCUAUAGUCACCGACAAAGUUAUGACCUGAGCUGUAAACAGUGUUGAGAGCACCUCUGGCAUGUAACCCUUCUUGGGGUUUAGAAUAACCUUACAGUCAUUCAGCAUGAAUUCCAUGCAAGAAGCACCAAAAGUAGACAGCACUGGAAAGUCCACCACUUGCUUUACAGAAGUAAAACACUAUCUUCAGCAAGAGUGCUCGUAAUUAAGAGCUUUUAGGUCCAAAGCAAAGUCCCAAGUGAGCAAUGUGGAAGGGUGAAGGCAUAGCCGUGGGAACAUAUUUUAUCUGGGGGGUGCUGGGGGGGCGUGGGUUGAUUUGGCAGGGUGGGGCCACGGUGGGGGAUUUUUUACAAAAUCCUAUAAACAGCCCAAACUCUUAUAGAUUAACAUACAAAUGAAGAUGUAGCCUAUAUGCGAACCAAUAUAUAGGCUAUUUGUGCUUUUGUGAUUUUAGUUCAAAAAAAUGUUCUUUAAUAUUUCUAUUAAGGGGUUUUUAUUAAAUAUUAACAUCGCUGAUAUGCAAAAGUUUUGGUCAAUACACUUUAUCGAAUUCUCUCAUCAGAAACAACAAAGUGCAGAUGUAAGAUUCAUCAUACACUGCAGACAACAUCACUGAUUAUAGCUUAUAGUUUUUUAGAGUGCUUUCACUCAGGCUUCAGUAAUAUUCUUUGAUUAUGUAAAUGUUCUUUGUUCACUGUAUAAUUUGUUCGUUGUUUGAAUAAUAGUGGACAUGCGCAUUAUAAUUAAACUUAAAAUGUCUUUUUUAUUAAGCUUGAUCAGGUUAAAUUCAAAUUCAGUCUUAUUAAAAUAUUUUGUCAUAAGAUUGAUAGCCUACUUGCCUAAAACGUUAUGAUGUGUGUAGUUAAUAGAUUACAUUAGGCUACAGAUUAGACUACAGUGGUUUGAGCGCGUUUGACCAGAGAGCUCAAUUAAAGAGCAGUGCUUAUUGACGGUGGCCGUAUUCAGAGGCGAGAAAGCUUCGGAAAACAGCUCAUAAAAAAGACGAGGACGUGAAUGUUUUUUUACAAGUCGGAAAGUAAAAUUACGUUAUAUUGCGUGAACAUUCACAUGUAUUUCAGUCAGUGUGAGGCGGAGAUGUACAGGUGCCGCGAGGCGAGCAAGAAAAAUAGGCUACAACCGCACUAGGCUAUUUAUUUCUGGUCAGUUUAAUAAAUAAUCACAAAAAUGAAGUAUCUUGGGGAUGAUCAAGGGGCAAAAGGAAAAUCUCAGUCCUGGCCCUGCGGCAGGGGGUGCUGCAUCACCCUCAGCACCCCUAGUUAUUGCGGCCAUGUUCCCUUCUGCAUAUAGUUUAUCUCUGUCUCCGGUUCACACUCCAGUACAGUGGCGGUAAUUCACCAUUGAAGUUGGAUGCCAACCGCCGUUAAACAUCAAGGAAGAAGAAGAAGAAGAACACGGAAACAUAGGUGCGUUCAGCCUGAAGAGGCACUGUGCAGACCGAUCAGCGUAACAAAGUAUCGCGAGAGCUAUAUAGAGAGCGGACCACUUCGUAUGCUUUUGAAUAGCUCUCGCGGUAGUUUAAUCUCACAUUUACUUUCAGUUUUCUUACAAGUAAUGUUAGCAUUUGAGAAAUAUUAUGCAAAAUUUACAUUAAUUAUAUCGGGGCACCAUGAUCAUCGGUUGGUGCUUCAUCUGUGUGUUUGCAGUUCUGAUAAAUAAAGUGUGUCUGCAGGUCACAGUAGAGGCUGUUAUUGGAGGUUCUGUUGUCCUGCCGUGUUCUUCAACUGAACAUGAUCUUAAACUUCAAGACAUUGAUGUGUUUUGGAGACACAAUGGCAGUGAGACUAUUUAUGAUUUAAUUAAGGGUAAUGAUUCAGUAGCAGGACAGAACCCACAGUACAAGAACAGAGCUAAAACUUUCCCUGAUGAGUAUCUGAGAGGAAACUUUUCCAUCAAGCUCAUAAAUCUUCAACACACUGAUGCAGGAGAGUUCAGCUGCUUUAUCACACACUCAUCUGAUUCUAAACAGGAGACUAUACGGCUGAUCAUUAACGAAUCAACAGUAGAAAAAGCAAGCAAUUCAACUCAACAAGCAAACCAAGAACCAGAAACAAAAGCACACCGAUGGCAUAUAUAUACAAUAAUCAGUGUCUGCAUUUUUGUAUCUUUAAUAUUUAUUUUGUCUUUAAGAAUUUGUUAUAUUUCAUUUGAGAAAAAGACCUCAAGCUCCCAUAUAGAAGGAAACAGCAUCUGAGCAGCCUGUAUUUUCCAGCACCCAUGUUAACAAAUAAGCGUUCACAUCCGAAGCAUGAGCAGCAUGUCAUUCGUAUUCUCUCACCUCAUAUAGUCUUGUUACAAUGUUGCUGACAGAAAUCAAUGUGCACUGCUUAUUCUUAUUGUAUAACAGAAUGAGAUCUUGAAACACUGAAAUGGGAACAAUUUUGCUGUCAAUAUUCUGUACCACAAGUGUUUUUGCCAGAAUAAAUUCUUUAUGUAUUGCUUAUUUGUUAAUAUUGGAACUGCACAUCAUUUAAAAAACUGUGAUUUAUUAAUUCCUGAUAACACAUCAGCCAAUUUAAUGAGUUCUGUUUGCACAUAGUCUGCUCAAGGUAAAACAUGGUGUUCAUGCUCAUGACUGAGACUGUUACACAGCUCUGUAGACUGUUGUCAGAAGAUUCAAAUUAUUUAGUUUAUUUGCUGUACUAAGAUAUGCUCUACUAAAAAGGAAGCCUCUUUGUUUGGCCCAUUUUACUGAGUCUUUCCAGGAGAGGAAAGUUUUCUGGUGAAUUUUAAAGAUUGUUUGUUAAACAAUUUAAUCUUUUUGUUUUGCAAGAUUUCAUAGCAAGAAUUAUGAAAGCUGCAUUUACUCAAGGUAUCAUGAUGCUGCUCUCAAACCCAGCAUAUCUUCCUAAUAAUAAUUAUAACAUUUAAAGUUUUUAGUUUCUUAAGCAUGAACAAGAUGCUGUAAUAGAUCCCAGUCUGUUUUUUUUGUCGGGCACAUUUCUAAUAUUAAUACUAAUAGAUGUUGUUACUUUGUCAGAUUUGAUUUCAGAUGAAACCUUUGUUUUGUUUUCAGAUCUUUGUAAAGCAUUUUAUUCUUUUACACAUUUAUUUAUUUACGUACGUAUACAAAAAAGCACAGUGAAUGAUAAAGCGACUUAUCUAUAUAUGAUGUAAUGUCAAAGAAUAUGUGCAGUAAAUGUUUUGACAAUAAAAGAACUGGAACUAAAUCUGUGGUUACAUAGAAA